AUUGAACGCUGGCGGCAGGCCUAACACAUGCAAGUCGAGCGGAGCGGCGGACGGGUGAUUAAUGCCAAGGAAUCUGCCUGGUAGUGGGGGAUAAUGUCAGGACACGGGCGCUUAUACCGCAUACUAUCAGAUGAGCCUAGGUCGGAUUAGCUAGUGGUUGGGUUAAAGGCCUACAAAGGCGACGAUCCGUAACUGGUCUGAGAGGAUGAUCAGUCACACUGGAACUGAGACACGUUCCAGAAGCCGACGGGAGGCAGCAGUGGGGAAUAGUGGACAAUGGGCGAAAGCCUGAUCCAGCCAUGCCGCGUGUGUGAAGAAGGUCUUCGGAUUGUAAAGCACUUUAAGUUGGGAGGCGUUACCAACAGAAUAAGCACCGGCUAACUUCGUGCCAGCAGCCGCGGUAAUUC
rnacentral:rRNA from 1 species